rnacentral:rRNA from 1 species
UACAGCGGUCUCAAGCGUUGUUCGGAUUCAUUGGGCGUAAAGGGUGCGUAGGUGGCGCGCUAAGUCAGGUGUGAAAUUUCGGAGCUUAACUCCGAAACUGCAUUUGAUACUGGCGUGCUUGAGGACUGGAGAGGAGACUGGAAUUUACGGUGUAGCAGUGAAAUGCGUAGAGAUCGUAAGGAAGACCAGUGGCGAAGGCGGGUCUCUGGACAGUUCCUGACACUGAGGCACGAAGGCCAGGGGAGCAAACGGG